UCCUGGUAUCCAUGAUGAGUUUAUUUAUGCUGAGCGUCACCAUAACAUGGAUAUGUAUACUGAUUCUCUUACCAAAAUUAAGUUCAAUAAUAGUGUUUAACAACUCAAUCUUAAAUAUAAUAAAUGUAAAUUAACAAAUUUUGGGAUAAUUGUCACAAGAUCAUAGGUUUCAUAAAACAAACUUGCAUUUAAGAUUUUUAUAGUAUCUUCAAUUCCUUGAAAUUGGAAUUUUUCCUCCUCCUUUUUUUUCAAUUGUUCAACAACAACAGUAACGAAUGCACAUAAACAAUCCUAACUAUUCCAUAUUUUUGCUUUUCCUUUUGAUAUUUAGCAUUGAUCUGUAUAGAAAAAUGUGCUAAUGCUAGUUGUUAAUGAAAUUUCUAAUAAAAACAAAAAUGACUUGAAAAUAAAUAGUUAGUUUAAUAUGUA
rnacentral:lncRNA from 1 species